GAUGAACGCUGGCGGCGUGCCUAAUACAUGCAAGUCGAGCGAACGGACGAGAAGCUUGCUUCUCUGAUGUUAGCGGCGGACGGGUGAGUAACACGUGGAUAACCUACCUAUAAGACUGGGAUAACUUCGGGAAACCGGAGCUAAUACCGGAUAAUAUUUUGAACCGCAUGGUUCAAAAGUGAAAGACGGUCUUGCUGUCACUUAUAGAUGGAUCCGCGCUGCAUUAGCUAGUUGGCAAGGUAACGGCUUACCAAGGCAACGAUGCAUAGCCGACCUGAGAGGGUGAUCGGCCACACUGGAACUGAGACACGGUCCAGACUCCUACGGGAGGCAGCAGUAGAGAAUCUUCCACGAUGGGCGAAAGCCUGACGGAGCAACGCCGCGUGAGUGAUGAAGGUCUUCGGAUCGUAAAACUCUGUUAUUAGGGAAGAACAUAUGUGUAAGUAACUGUGCACAUCUUGACGGUACCUAAUCAGAAAGCCACGGCUAACUACGUG
rnacentral:rRNA from 1 species